CUCCCCCUCUGGCUGCACAUGAAAGCUGGCUGCUUCCCAUCAAAGCCUCACUCACCUUGUGGUCGAGAGGUUUCUGCUGUGGAGUCAUCACAGCUCUCAUAUAGCAGGUGCAAAAUCCAUAACAGCAGACACAUUUCUACCUGUUUUUAUGCUCUUGAAUACCAUCCUUUUUUAUUUCAUCCUCCAACCCUCUGACUUAACAACUAUUUGCCAUUUCUAUACUAUCUGAAACCUAUUUAUGCUAUACCCCCUCAGCAACAUGUCCUCUUUUUGCAGAAUUUUCUGCAUCACUCACCCUUCGGAAACACUGUGGGAGAGAAGGCUGGAAAAAAACGCACGCCAUCACAUGAAAAAGGCAGCUCCAAGAACAUCAAUAAUGUGUUUUCUCUGGUGGUGUUUGUGACCUCGGGGCAGAAGGCAAGGG